AUGCACGCUGGCGGCGUGCCUCAUCCCUGCCAGUCGCGCGAACAGACGAGGAGCUUGCUCCUCUGACGUUAGCGGCGGACGGGUGAGUAACACGUGGAUAACCUACCUAUAAGACUGGGAUAACUUCGGGAAACCGGAGCUAAUACCGGAUAAUAUAUUGAACCGCAUGGUUCAAUAGUGAAAGACGGUUUUGCUGUCACUUAUAGAUGGAUCCGCGCCGCAUUAGCUAGUUGGUAAGGUAACGGCUUACCAAGGCAACGAUGCGUAGCCGACCUGAGAGGGUGAUCGGCCACACUGGAACUGAGACACGGUCCAGACUCCUACGGGAGGCAGCAGUAGGGAAUCUUCCGCAAUGGGCGAAAGCCUGACGGAGCAACGCCGCGUGAGUGAUGGAGGUCUUCGGAUCGUAAAACUCUGUUAUUAGGGAAGAACAAAUGUGUAAGUAACUAUGCACGUCUUGACGGUACCUAAUCAGAAAGCCACGGCUAACUACGUG
rnacentral:rRNA from 1 species